GUCUUGUCAAUGAUGUUCUGAAAUGUCUGAACCAAUGAAUACUAUGUGAUUCAAUAAUGUUUUACUCACUGAGACAAGAC